CACGAAAUCUCCGAAAUUAUAACACCUACAAACUUGAAAUUUGGCAAAAAGGCUCCUUAUAGGGCGUAAACAUCCGCUAAGAACGAAUUUUACAAAAUUCGACCCUUAAGGGGGUAAAAAGGGGGUCGGAAGUUUGUAUGAAAGUCCCAUGUUUUUGAAGUAUGAGACUUGAAAUUUAAAAUGUAUACCCUAUAAAUGAUAAGAAGGUGUUCAAAUAAUGAAUCUUUAGAAAUCAACUCCCUUUUGGGGUUAAAACGGGGGAUGGUAGGUUGACUCACUCAUCACGAAAUCUCCGAAAUU
rnacentral:misc_RNA from 1 species